rnacentral:rRNA from 1 species
AGAGAUGCAUUGGGCGUAAAGCGUGCGCAGGCGGUUUUGUAAGACAGAAGUGAAAUCCCCGGGCUCAACCUGGGAACUGCCUUUGUGACUGCAAGGCUGGAGUGCGGCAGAGGGGGAUGGAAUUCCGCGUGUAGCAGUGAAAUGCGUAGAUAUGCGGAGGAACACCGAUGGCGAAGGCAAUCCCCUGGGCCUGCACUGACGCUCAUGCACGAAAGCGUGGGGAGCAAACA